rnacentral:rRNA from 1 species
UACGGGGGGAGCAAGCGUUGUUCGGAUUUACUGGCGUAAAGGGCGCGUAGGCGGUCAGCACAAGUCAGUUGUGAAAUCUCCGGGCUUAACUCGGAAAGGUCAACUGAUACUGUGCGACUAGAGUGCAGAAGGGGCAACUGGAAUUCUCGGUGUAGCGGUGAAAUGCGUAGAUAUCGAGAGGAACACCUGCGGCGAAGGCGGGUGCUGGGCUGAGCACUUGACGCUGAUGCGCGAAAGCCAG